CCCCCUGGGAAGUCCUCGUGUUGCAUCCCU
rnacentral:rRNA from 1 species